rnacentral:rRNA from 1 species
GUACACAAAAAUGCACAUACUGUGAGCUCGAUGAGUAGGGCGGGACACGUGGUAUCCUGUCUGAAUAUGGGGGGACCAUCCUCCAAGGCUAAAUACUCCUGACUGACCGAUAGUGAACCAGUACCGUGAGGGAAAGGCGAAAAGAACCCCGGCGAGGGGAGUGAAAAAGAACCUGAAACCGUGUACGUACAAGCAGUGGGAGCCUCUUAAUGGGGUGACUGCGUACCUUUUGUAUAAUGGGUCAGCGACUUAUAUUCUGUAGCAAGGUUAACCGAAUAGGGGAGCCGAAGGGAAACCGAGUCUUAACUGGGCGUUAAGUUGCAGGGUAUAGACCCGAAACCCGGUGAUCUAGCCAUGGGCAGGUUGAAGGUUGGGUAACACUAACUGGAGGACCGAACCGACUAAUGUUGAAAAAUUAGCGGAUGACUUGUGGCUGGGGGUGAAAGGCCAAUCAAACCGGGAGAUAGCUGGUUCUCCCCGAAAGCUAUUUAGGUAGCGCCUCGUGAAUUCAUCUCCGGGGGUAGAGCACUGUUUCGGCAAGGGGGUCAUCCCGACUUACCAACCCGAUGCAAACUGCGAAUACCGGAGAAUGUUAUCACGGGAGACACACGGCGGGUGCUAACGUCCGUCGUGAAGAGGGAAACAACCCAGACCGC